AAUACACACAGCACCUAACCCACCCCAGCUGGCCCCGUUUGAGCCUUCAGCACCUGGGUCGUGUCAAUCCCCACCUCCACGAAAGUCAACACCCUCGUUCCCCUUUUAAAGGGAGCACCAGGAGCCCUUGCUGGCCUAUUUUUCCUGUCCAGUGUUGCUCCCAAAGUUGCUUCUUUGUUCCCCCCACUCCUUAAAAACUAGUGGGAAAACACUCCGUGUUUUGUGCAGUUCCGGGGGGAAGAAGCAAGUGGAGCAUAAAUCUCCACCCAAGUUCGUAGAAUGACAGAACUUUUUAGGUAGGAAAAGACCUUUAAGAUCAUUGAAUCCAACCAUUACCCAACACUUCCAAGCCCACCACUAAACCCUGUCCCUGAGAGCCAUAUCCACGCUUGUUUUAAAUAGCUCCAGGGAUGGUGGCUCCAGCGCCUUCCUUGGUAGCCCAUUCCAAUCUAAUCAAUCUAAGUCUAAUCAAUCUUUCUCUGGAGAAAUUCUGCCUAAUGUUGAACCUGACCCGGCUCUGGUGGUGCUUGAGGCCAUUUCCUCUUGUCCUAUUGCUGGUUGCCUGGGAGCAGAGCCCGACCCUCUGGUCUGGCUACACCUUCAUGUUGGGUUUUUGUAAUAAGGUCUCCCCUGAGCCUCCUCUUCUCCUCUUAACACCUCACAUCCCUCAGCUGCCCCUCACAGGAUUUGUACUCCAGCUCCUUCCCCAGCUUUGUUACCCUUUGGAGCACAGAGUUUGACAUGUAAUGAUAAAAGCCACUCAGCUGGAGCAUCUGGAGGAUUCAAUGCAGAACUGCUUGGUUUUGUUAUAAAAUCAGUAUUUAAAGACUGACCUAAUGGGUGUGUGGGUUUGGUGGUGUAAAGCAUUUGGGUCCAAAAAAGCCUUUUAUUUCAAAGCAGUAGAAUUAAAUGGUAGGAAUCAAUGUGAAAUCUUGAUUUCUCUGAUGUUACUGGAAGAGCUUUGGAGUGCCUGGAGGAAAGGAGGCAGUGAGGCAGCUGGGCUAUGCCCAGGUGGAAAGCCUGCUUUCCCAACUUCCCAAGGACAAGCUGGCUGCUCCAAACCCUGCCAGCCCAGAGAGGGGCUCAUGUUCAGCCUUUCGGCUCCAACAGGGCUCUGUGAAAAGCUCAACAUCCCCUUUGUGCUCUAAAGCUACACUGCGAUUCCCCAGCCUAAAUUAAACCAAGCUUACCUUGAGCAGGACCAGGACUCAGAGCUGUCAGAGUGCACUGGGGCUGACUGAAGAGAAGACAAUAAAAGGUGUGUUUGUCCUUGAGCACGAGCCAUCCCCACCUGCCCUCGUGGUUUGGCUCCCUCCUGGUGCUCCCAGGGAGCUGGGGACCCCAAGUCCCCUCCUGCCAUCCCUGACCCCAGGAAUUUCCCUUCCUCCUGGUGCCUAUGGGGAGACCCUGACUGCAGGACCAGCAUGGCCUGUGGUGCUCAGCUCUGAAUCCAGAACUUCUGUGAGCAGUAAGAUACCCCAAAGUUAUGUAUUUCUAUAGGAGAUCCACCACAUUCCCUGGAAAAGCUGUACUCGGUGGAAAAUGGUGCUUGAUAGAAAGCAUGCAGCAGCACAGAUGCUUUUUGGCAAGCACAUUUCUGGGCAUGCACCUCCUCAGCAAGUGAACUGUUAAUUAAACUACCCCUAAUGACUGGUAACCAACACAUAAAUGCAUUCCUAUAAAUAGAUAUUGCUCCAUAUCCCAGGUUAUCAGUCAUAAUACUUAGUCUGAGAUAAUGAAUUCCACACUAAAUUACCCACAGUAGCCAUGUCCUUUUUCUGUAAAUUGUUCUCUGUUUGAGGAGGAUGCUUUAGCAUAUAAUUGUGGUGAAUUAGGCUUGGAGAGGGAUUACAGCAGCUGCAGAAUCUCUUUGUUGGGCUGAGCAUGACAUCCAGCUCUUCCAAGAGAUGCUUUAAUGUGCCAAGAUCAAUACUAGAGGGGCAGAACUUGGAACAGAUGGGCCACGAGGGCCAAGUUCUGCUGGUAAAUCAGUCUGGUAAUGACAUGCCAGUGAUGUCACAGCUGGUACUGGCAGUCUGAAGGGCAGAACAGCCAGAGGAGCAGAGCUGGGAGCCCAAGGGCUAGCAGUGACCUCUGAAGAGCCAGCUGGGAGCCAGACAGGUUUAGGAUAUGGACUCUACUCUCCAGCCUGACUGAUAAUCAGUCAUCCAGAAAGGCAGCAAGGAGAUGAGGCUGUGCCUUGAAAUCUGGUGCUGUAUCAGUGGAAUGAAAACCAGAACAUGCUUUGGUUGUUGCAUGAAGUACCAAACUUACCGAGCUUAUACCAGGUAAAUUCAAGAGAUAGCCAAGAACUGGAACUCUUCUAAUAAAGCCAACCACCACAGGAAAGAACCCCCUUCAGGUAAAACAUCAGAAGAUUGUAUUAGUUUUUGUAAUUAAGCUUUUCGCAUAUUGCUGUAACAUGGAAAAAAUAGCAGGUAAUUUUUAAACCAAGUUUACAUAAAAUCUUGCAACUUCUUAGCAGCACACUUGUUUACCAAAUAUAUCAAUACACGUUCAUCAGAGAAAGGAGAAAACCAGGAAAGAAAUAGUGUAUUUUUAAAUGGAUUUCAUUUUCCUCAUAGCUGGCAACUCUCAGUCAACUCAUCAAAAAAUAACUCAAGUGAGAAUAAUUAAUUUAGUCAGCAAAACUGAUUUCUCAAAAUUAGCAUACAUUUUUUGAUAUAAUUCCUCUUUAUGUUAUAGAAAAUACAUUCAAGACCCAAUGUAGAAACAAGUGAAGUUAGUUCUGAUAAUUAAAACCACGUAUGACACUCUUUACAUAAACUAAAGAAAAUGAAGCAUGCCAGAGCUGUGUAUUCAUUUGUUUCCCAAAUUUAGGUCAGUGGUUUGAAUCGUGACCCCGGGGAUGUUGCCUGGCACAGACGCUGUGGUGCAGCCCCUGCACUCUCCACCUAACCUCUGCAGCACAAAACCAAAUUUUGUGUGGCAAUAUCUGAGUGUCUGCAGGCAGCUGCUGGCAUUCCCAGCAAGCUCCAGCUGAGCAUUCCCUGUGGAACAAGGAUUAAAUGCAGUGAGGCCUCAGCCACAGUGCAACAGUGAAGUGUCACACGCCAUCAUCCUCUUCACCACCCUGCUAAGAACUAUUUGCUGGGUAAUAUCCACACCAAUAAGGGGGGGGUUGAGUUUGGUUUCUUUUAGACCAGAUCAUUUCAGUAGCUCAGUAAAUUGUGAGGCAGGGCACACAAACCACUUGUAACAGAUUAAAACAGCUGCUGUGUCCAAGAAUAAGGACUAGUCAGUACAGCAGGGAUAAAAUUGUCAGCCCCAACUCUGCAAGGCUGUCAUCUGAACAAGGCUCCAAAAGCACCUUAGAUAACAACAGCUGUCCCAUAACAGCAGGGCAGUUUUCUGCUAUGCUACCAAGCAGCAGGAUCCUGAGGAACGAUACAAAAUGGUGCUUGAGGAAAGACUGCAUUUGUAACUUCUUCAGAAGGGAACAAGUUGCUGACAAGAGGAGGAUGGUUGAACUGACCAAGACUGAAGCAAAACAAAAAGCUUUGCUUGAAGUAGUCACUAGUCAGCCUUGGAGCAAGGGAUUUAGAUUUUAUCAACUAAUAAGCCCUGGAAAAGAUGGUCACAGAAUCAUGAAAUCAAGGUUGGAAAAGACAUUAAUAUCAUUCAGUCCAAACCACUGGUCUCCAGGUACUUUAAAUUAAAACAGAUCAGCUAAACAUUCACAC